rnacentral:rRNA from 1 species
CGUGCAGGCGGUUCGGUAAGUUGGGCGUGAAAUCUCCUGCUCGACUAGGAGAGGUCGUUCAAUACUACCGGGCUAGAGAGUGGUAGAGGAAGAUGGAAUUCCCGGUGUAGUGGUGAAAUGCGUAGAUAUCGGGAGGAACACCAGUGGCGAAGGCGAUCUUCUGGACCAUUUCUGACGCUCAGACGCGACAGCUAGGUAGCAAACG